GACGACGCACACAAGUCGCAGCUAGCUAGCUCCCAACCGAGCCAGGAAAACGGACGCCGUGCAGCUCGCUCGCGCGCGCCCCACGGAAAGAGAGGGCAGGUAGGAAUAAUGUACCAGGCCAUCCCGUACAGCGCCGGCCAGCCGUGGCCGCGGCCGGCCCCGACGAUCGGUCCUGACGUGGCGGAGGAGGAGGGGUUGCUGGCGGCUUCGCAGCAGCAGGCGUCGACGCCAGCGGAGGCGGCGGCGAGGGUGGAGGAGGAGGAGGUGCGGCGCGCGGUGGCGGAGUGCCCCGUGCUCGUGGUGGGCGUGCGCGGGUGCUGCCUCAGCCACGUGGUGAAGCGGCUGCUGCAGGGGCUCGGGGUGAACCCCGCCGUGCACGAGGUGGCCGGCGCCGAGGCGGACCUCGCGGCCGCCGGGGUCGCCGCCCUCCCGGCGGUGUUCGUCGGGGGCAGGCUGCUCGGGGGCCUCGACCGGCUCAUGGCCGCGCACAUCUCCGGCGACCUCGUCCCCAUACUCAAGGACGCCGGCGCGCUGUGGCUCUGACACGAGCAGCCACCAAGCUAGCCGCCCUCUGAUUGCCUCUCCGUCGUCAGCUGCUUUGCUUUGAAUUAAACGAUGGUGGUGUUGUCAACUCGUUUUUAUUUACUCAUUGACUAGAGAUAGACAUGCACAUAGGACUUCAAUUCUUGUACUUGUACUACUAGGGAAAAGAGAGUGAAUUAUAGUACUUUAAUAUUAUUUGUUACUUGUAUUUUCCAUCCUGUGAAUACGAAAUACCGACUCCAGCUUCUGUUUGUUC
rnacentral:lncRNA from 1 species